GACUUCAUCGACGAAAUUGAUGUAAAGCUAUAAACAGUACUCCAACAUCUUCUAUUCUUUGACUUGGCAAUUUCCACCUUCAAAAGGCGGGCGGCCAAAUAAUCCCACGCUACUCACGGGUAGUUUGGUAACUUAAAUCCUAAAAAAAAAAAAAGAGCGUUGCCCCAUGCACCCAGGCAUGCCACUGAGGCCAAUGCUCGCACAACCAACAAAAGGAGUUCAUGAGGUGUUUGAGCGCUUUAGAAGCAUGCACAUAACGUGCGAAUGGAAAUACGACGGCGAACGAGCCCAGAUUCACUGCAACGAGCGGGGAGAGAUAAGCAUAUUCUCUCGCAACUCGGAGAACAACACGGCGAAGUAUCCGGAUUUGAUUGCCAGGAGCAAAGGUUUCCUUAAGGGUGCAGUGCAGUCUUACAUUAUUGAUAGCGAAAUCGUUGCCUGGGACGUUGAGCGAAAGCAGAUUCUGCCAUUCCAAGUACUCAGUACGCGCAAAAGAAAAAACGUGGACAUAGAAGAGAUCAAAGUUCAAGUCUGUGUUUACAUAUUCGAUCUUCUGUAUAUUAAUGGUACGACCCUUGUCACAAGUCCAUUAUCCGAGCGCCGCAAGCUGCUGCUAGAAGAUUUCCAGGAAGUCGAAGGUGAAUGGAAAUUCGCCACAGCUCUGGACACUAACGAUAUGGAUGAGGUGCAGCAAUUUUUAGAGGAAUCAGUUUAAGGCAAUUGUGAGGGACUCAUGGUCAAGACAUUGGAUGAGGAAGCCACGUAUGAAAUCGCAAAAAGAUCAAGGAAUUGGCUUAAGUUGAAAAAGGAUUAUUUGUCAAAUUAUUUGUCGACUCGCUUGAUCUUGUUGUAAUUGGCGGCUACAAAGGAAAGGGACGACGAACCGGGACCUAUGGCGGAUUUCUGCUUGCCUGCUAUGACACCAAAAACGAGGAAUACCAGAGCAUCUGCAAAAUUGGAACAGGGUUCACUGAUGAAGAUUUGCGGAUACACUCUGAAUUCUUAGGCAAACAUAUCAUACCCAGUGCCAAGUCAUACUUUAGAUAUGACUCAAGCCUGGAACCGGACAACUGGUUUGAGCCGGCUGAGGUUUGGGAAGUAAAGUGCGCAGACCUCUCACUUAGCCCCAUCCAUAAAGCAGCCAUAGGCAUCGUUGACACCGAGCGGGCUAUUUCGCUCCGAUUCCCGCGAUUCAUUCGAAUUCGAGAUGAUAAGAGCAGCGAAAACGCAACAGAUGCCAAUCAAGUAGCCCACAUGUACCAGUCGCAGGAUCAGGCUAAGAAUAAUCAGAAUACUUGUACACAGAUGGAUAUGGAGAGCGAGUUCUACUGACGCAACUGCCCCAUCCCAAGAGUGAAUGUUCAUUUAUUUAAAAA